rnacentral:lncRNA from 1 species
GCAGUAGGGCCGUGAGCACGCAUGCAUGGGACACUGAAUGAGCUCAGCGUGUUUCCAUUUGGAACUUGUAAAAAGUUCCCUGUCUCGGCAGCUGAAAGCCGUGGUUGUGGCACAGUUAGAGCUACCGACGAUUUUCACGGUAAAUGAAGCCGCAGACUGUCCUCUCGGAGGAAACCGACCCCCGGCACCGCCACCCGAACCCCGGUCCAGCCCCCGGGAGAGCCGCGCAGGGGCGAUGUCGCCACGGCGCGGGGACAGCGAGAGAAGAUGGAGUCAUCUUACUUACGUCUGCGACCACGUACCGUUUAAAAAAAAAAAAAAAAAGAAUAACUAAAACUACAACCGGAAUCCAGACUGCUAGGGAACCUGUACCAUAAAGACCAUCUUUGUUGAGGGCAAAAGUCCUAGACAGGAAGUAUUGCGACCAUCUUUGUUAAAGGCAAGAGCAGGAAGUGCUGUAGCCAUCUUUGUUGAGGGCGCAAGACGUCAGGUUGAAGUUUGUUCCGCCAUGUUUGCUGUGGGAAAAGAGGCACACUCUCCUACAUUAAAAAAGAGAGAGAGUGGUUUAAAAACUCUAAGGCAGUAGUUCUCAAUCUUCCUAAUGCUUUGACCUUGUAAUAUGGUGUCCCCCAACCAUAAAAUUAUUUUUGUUGCUACUUCAUAACUAAUUUUGCUAUGUUAUAAAUCCUAGUGUAAACAUCUGUGUUUUCUGAUAAGUCUUACACUGCCACUGUGAAAGGGUUGUUACAGAGCCACAGGUUGAGAACAGGUGAUCUACGUUAUCUAAGUGAAAGAGUAAAUGAAUUGUUGAAUCUUAACAGAAAAAACUCCAUGAGAGCCUGACUAUAAUAAGCUAGUCAAAAGUUAAUCUAGCAGUUAAGCCCUGAGUUCAACUCCCAGUAAUAUACACCUACAUGCACA